CCAUGUUUACUGUGGCGAGCGGGACGAGUGAGGGCCGUGUGGACUGGAAAACGACGCAAGUCAUGUUUACUGUGGCAAGCGGGACAAGUGAGGGCCACGUGGAGAACGAUGCGAGUGUUUACUGUGGCAAGCCGGACGAGUGAGAGCUGUGUGGAGAACGACGCGAGGCCGGUGGCAUGAUUACCGAGCAGCACCUGAGACGCCUUGAGGUUAUCGCCGUGACCCAUGGAGCUGAGGAAGACCACUGCCAGCACCACCAGUCCCAAAUGCAUAGUCCCUGCUGCCCAGUCACGCUGGGUCCCGCCUGCAGGCAGACAGAUCACAGCUGAGGGCCUCUUUCACGCUGUGGCAGGUGGAACAGAGUCGACUACAGUCGGUCGCCGAGCCCUUGGCUGGAGGCCUCUGCAAGUCCGAACAUGUUUGGGGAACAAACCAUAGCACUCAACAUGAUGAAGCUGAAGAUGAUGAAGUCUGGGUGCGGAGAGCCGAGGUGAGAUGAUGAGAUCUUGUGGACAACGUAAACUGCCCUUCAACCCAUGAAGCCCGGGGCAAAACCGAGAAAAGAGAGAGAAGAGUGUGGCGGGAGCUUGCCAGGAGAUCCUAACGUGAGUGAGCAACACAGCCCAGGAGCAUGUGUCUUAUUAGGGAUGCUGGGAGGAGGAGGGUGAGUGCCGAAAAAAACCCCAGAGAGAUGGAGAAAGGUUCUGGACUCCUACGCGUGACAACGCAUCCGUCAGUGCCAAGAUCUGCUGCGGAGAGACAGAGAAAAGGGGGCGAGCGAGGGAAGGAGGGAGUUAGAUGUGGAGAGGAGUGGGUGAAUGGGGGGAGAAAAAGCACAAUGAGACAUGUACAUAAAUCCGUACUUUAAGUCAGCGUGUCAAAAGAAAGUCCAAAUAUUUUGGAAGGGGAAGAAAUGCAAGUUUUUGAAAACUUAAAAAAAAGUACUUUUGCAUUUUCUGUAAACUGUCAUGAAAUGUAUCGAGGAAAAAGCGUCGGAAAGAAUAUAACAGCCUUACGGAGGGCUUACAUAACUGCACUCUUUCAUCUCUAUCACUGCUCUUUCUCAACGAAGAUCAGCAUUUCUGCGCUCUAAAUUUGUUAAAUUGAUUCAUGGAAGUCUGGUCUGGAACUAUAAAUGCGGACACAAUAGAUUGUGAAACAUAAUCUGAAACUGUUAUUUUGUCCGUUUUAACCACACAUUCCAGCCAUGCUUAUUUUUUUCCUUCACCAGAUAGACUCAUGAGCCGGGAAAGCAAACAAAAUGUUUCAUUUUAACUGUAAUUUCCCCAUUAUAAGACUGACGAGAGCUGUAUAGUCCGGCCACUAAAGCUAGAACUGAACUGAUCAGAAAUAGGUCACCGUGAAAAUAACCUAUAGUCGAUGCACUUCCAAAAGUGAGGAA